GGUUGCGGCCAUAUCUAGCAGAAAGCACCGUUUCCCGUCCGAUCAACUGUAGUUAAGCUGCUCCUGACCGGUGCCGCAAUCU
rnacentral:rRNA from 1 species